AACUGCUCAGUACAGAUUGUACGUUCGUUUUGAAAACUUAAAGAGGGGCCCCCGGCAGUUU
rnacentral:tRNA from 1 species